GUUGAAUUUAAGUGGAAAAUAUACAGUUGCUCAUUUAAUAGUCUUUCAACUUUUUUCAAAGUUUGGGCAGUUAUAGAAACAAUUUCUUCUAUUUACAAGUUUUUUCCUAGCACAAACCUAUUUAGAUUAAAUCCCCUCGCCAGCCUCUCAGCUAACAUGUUAAAAUUUCCUUCCAGAACUUCAUUAAUCAGCCAGGCUAUAAAAAAGUAACUGUCCAAGGCCCAAGCAUGUCCUUUCAAAAUCUUUUUAGAAUCCACAAAAUAAAUUUUAAAACUUAGUUAUUCUAGCAAGAACACUAGAGAUGUCACUGACUACACUCACUCUGGUUUACUUACUUAUUCCCUCCUGCCUACAAAUCUUGACUGCCUUGCAAACCUAAAUUCUCUAUCAAGUCACAUUAAAUUCCCUCCAUGGCUUCCUAUCCAAAUUUUUUAAAAGGGGAGGAAGGGGUUUCUGUGCCCUGCCUGCCCUCCUCUUCCAGCCGUACCAUAUAACCCACCUAUCGCCAGCUCACAGGUGAGAACACAAUGCUUGAAGACCAGCAUCCCAAGUGGAGCACCAAGCCACCUCCAGCACUCCUGCCCGAGCUGCCAACAUGGCUCCCAACUGUCACAAGAUGCUCUGAGGAUCAGUGCGGGGUCAUCUUACACAUUUUCACAGCUUACUCUCCCCAGGACUUAUGCGGAGCUUUACCCCAAGGUAGACAUUUAAGUAUUUGCUAAGUUGUAUUUCUAGUUACUUCCUAGACAACUGCUGCCUAAAAUCAAAUGCUUUAUAUAUCAUGCUUUAAUUUUAUUAAACAUGUAAGUCCUGCUUAAACAAUGGUCUCAGUGGUUCUCACCCUAGGGAGAUUUUGCUCUCCAAGGGACAUGAGACAAUGUCUGGAGGCAUUUUUGGUUAUUACACUGGGAUGGGGGUGUGCUGCUGGCAUCUCAAUAGGUAGAGGUCAGGAACACUGCUCAAGAUUCUGCAAGGCACAGGACAGCACCCCCACAAUAAUGAAUUAUUUGAUUCAAGAUGUCAAUAAUGCCAAGGUUGAGAAACCCUAGGGUAGCUGUAGUGUUUUCUUUUAACCUUAGGGGAUUUGAGAGCCACUGGAAACCAAAGAGCCAAACUGAACCUAUGUGGCUGCAACUUUUUUAGUUUCUUAUUAAAGAAAAAGUUCUCUGGUUUUUCAACACUAAGUUCCCUUAUUUCGAAAACAACCGAAAGAGCUCAAUUUUGCAAAAAUGGCACAACCACAACAGAGUGCAGUGUGAUAACAAUACAGAGUCAACUAAGAUUAAAAAUUGGUCUACUAAGACUUUAGAUAUAAUACGUUUUAUUCAUCUAGUGGUACUUGGUGCUCACAGGGCACUGUACAACAAAUUUUAAAAAUACAAUAUGAAAAAAAUCAAACAGCCAGAGAUCAAUUCCAUUAGAGGGCGAUGGCCCACAGAAAAACCAACAAAGGCCCACAGAAAAACCCACCCUGUCUCCUUAAGAACAUUUCUUUGUUUGGCUUUAAGAAACACCAAAAGAAAAUACAAAAGAAAAGGUCUUUGAGAAGAUAGGUAAAACUUCACAUAGCGUCUUCCACAUAUCACAAAAUGCUUUCCUUAUUUAAUAAUAAGCACAUAAAAUAAUCCAAAUAUCUGUGAGCCUCUAUUUGGUCCCAAUGUUUUAGGUCAUAGCUUUCACUACUUCCCUCCUCUCUAUCCUCAAAUUAUUUGCAUCAGUAAAAAAAGUUAAUUAAGGUGUAACAGUCUCCUUUGCUCCACAAUGCCACUACAAAGCCUAUUUUCCAUAAAGAACCAGAGGCCAAGCAAACCAGGAACUCCUAAAGUGUCAAUAGGCAGUUUUACUUACAGUAGUAGUUAUAUACUAAUGCUGCUUGCAGAAUUUUUUUUCCCUUUAGAGUUCACAGAAGUACUACCACAUGGAGACAAAACAAAACAGUAAAAAUAGUAUAGGUAGUAAAAAGGCCAAAACUAAGAAAUUUGGGGCCAUAACAUUAGAAAAGUUUGAAAAUAUACUUUACAUAUUUGCUUAAAAAAUUAAGUGUAGUACUGCCUUAAUGCUUGGUUCCUCUACCAUUAAAUGGCAUUUCAUUCAGUUUAUGCUGAACUCUUAGAUCAACUUAUUAUUACUGAAUACAAAGCUAAGCAAACCUAGACAUUUUAGCUGCUGCCACUGUGUAUUAUCACAGUACAUAAGGAAUCUGUCACAAGGUUUGUCUCCCCUUCUCCAUUAUACUGUUCUUAAAGGUAGAGGGCAGGUCUCAUGCACCUUUGCAUCCCCUGCAUAUAAGCACAGUGGCUGGCAUACAGUGGGUGAAUAGGUAUUUACUGAUGCAUUGCUGAGUAGUGGCUUAUAACAUGGAGAAAAGCCCAACAUUGUCCUGUUCUAUCAGCAUUACUUAGGUAUCCUCACUCCUAAUAGGCAGAAAGCAGUUUUGAAGUAAAGUUAAAUUCCUCACUUGCUAAACACAGCAGACCUGUCAAGUGUUGGACAAGACUUAAACCACUUUCUUUAAAUGUGUUCAUAAAGCAUUUUGAGAAAUCAAGAGAUGAAAGGCGCUAUGUAAGUACAAAAUAUUCAAGACAGUUUAGCAAAAGUGCUACUUUUCUACGAUGAUGGAAUGGUUGUGCUAGUUUGAGGGGAACAUCCCCUGAGGCUACUCUUCUUGCUGUCAUUAUUAACACAACAAUGGAAUUUUGACAAAGAUGCCAUCACUUUAUAUAGUUUUUAUUCAGCUAACUACUUUCUAUAAACCAUGUGACAGAAAAUGAAAUUAAGCCACUUAUUCCACAUAAACCAAUACUUUAUCAAAGUUCCGCAUUUUACAAGUCAUGUUCAAAAAACACACACAAAUUAGCAUUUUGUACACAAAUGUUUAUUUCUCAAUUAAACAUUCCCUUUAAACACAAGGAAUGAGUUCUAAAUCUUCAUAAAGAUGAAUUAAAAAUGAAAUCC
rnacentral:lncRNA from 1 species